GUAGGCACGCACGUAGGUCGGCAUUUCCGUGGGAAGAAGUGCCGCUUACCUUAGAAGUUCCUCCAAGUUACUUUAUUAUGUGACUCAUAGAUAUUGUAUAUAAUCAAGUACCUAUUCUCACAAUCAAGUAGCAUAAGAAUUCUACAUGUUUAUGAUGCGCUCAAAGCUUCUGUCAGACAAUAAGUACACCUUUUUGAUACAAUAUAUUCAAACCCACAAAGCGACCAAAAUGAGCUGAAACGAAAUGACGUGAAGAGACAGGUUGUGUGAGUGUGUUAAUGGAGCUAUUAGUCUAUUUCAGAGAACGGAUCACAAUGUGAAAACAAACAGAAAAAAAAAAAAAACCUGCUUGAAAAUUAGUUUUGCACCCUCUAUUAGUUUUGCAUCAAAUUAUGUGUCCGAAAAUUAGUUUUGCACGCCUUACUAAUAGAGGAUAUACGGUAUAUAAAGCAAUUUUGUUGAAAUAAAUAAGUUGUUUA
ensembl:lincRNA linc-146 ncRNA